rnacentral:rRNA from 1 species
CCUACGGGGGGCUGCAGUCGAGAAUCUUUCUCAAUGGGGGCAACCCUGAAGGAGCGACGCCGCGUGGGGGAUGAAGGGCUUCGGCUCGUAAACCCCUGUCAUUUGUGAGCAGGUGUGAUUGUUUAAGAGAUGGUUACAUAGAUAGUAGCAAAAGAGGAAGGGACGGCUAACUCUGUGCCAGCAGCCGCGGUAAUACAGAGGUCCCAAGCGUUGUUCGGAAUCACUGGGCGUAAAGGGUGCGUAGGCGGUAGUGUAAGACUUAGGUGAAAUCUCCAUGCUUAACGUGGAGCUCGCCUGGGAGACUGCAUUACUUGAGGAUUGGAGGGGAGACUGGAAUUCUUGGAGUAGCAGUGAAAUGCGUAGAUAUCAAGAGGAAGACCAGUGGCGAAGGCGAGUCUCUGGACAAUACCUGACGCUGAGGCACGAAGGCCAGGGGAUCAAACGGGAUUAGAUACCCCUGUAGUC